rnacentral:rRNA from 1 species
GAGAGUAUAAUUAUUUUUGGUUUGUAGUCAAAUUUGUUUUUCUUUUAUAUUUAUAAUUUUUAGGUGAAAUUUUAAUUUUAGGUAUUUUAGUUUAAAUUUGAAUCUAUGAAACUUAUUAUAUAAACAAGGAUUAGAUACCCUUUUAUUGUAAGUGUAAAUUGUUAAUCAGGGUAGUAAUAGUUAUGUUCUUGAAACUCAAAGAAUUUGGCGGUAUUUUAUUCUUUUUAGAGGAACCUGUCCUGUGAUCGACAUUCCACGAUGAUGAGUUACUUUCCUUUGUUUUUCAGUUUGUAUACCUCCGUCAUAAGAGUAUCUUUUUAGAGUGAAUAUUCCUAUUAUAGAAAAUAUUAAAUGUCAGGUCAAGGUGCAAUUUAUAGGUUAGAAGAGAUGGGUUACAAUGGAAUUAUCUAUAUGGAUUAAAAUAAUUAUUUAUUUUAUGAAGGUGGAUUUAAAAGUAAAAUUGAGGUCUAAUUAAUUCGACUUUAGCUCUAGAAUAUGCACACAUCGCCCGUCGCUCUUACA